rnacentral:rRNA from 1 species
CACGUAGGGGGCAAGCGUUGUCCGGAUUUAUUGGGCGUAAAGAGCUCGUAGGCGGUUUGUCGCGUCUGCUGUGAAAACUCGAGGCUCAACCUCGGGCUUGCAGUGGGGUACGGGCAGACUAGAGUGCGGUAGGGGGUGACUGGAAUUCCUGGUGUAGCGGUGGAAUGCGCAGAUAUCAGGAGGAACACCGAUGGCGAAGGCAGAUCUCUGGGCCGUAACUG